CUGCGAGUUCGCGGGAGAGUAAGUUAUUGCCAGGGUUUUUAUUUUAUACUUUAAACAUUGAUUUUAUUUUUUAUGUUUUUAGAUAUUUAUGUUUUUGAAUGUUUUAUUCAAAUAAUAUAAAAAAUAAAAUAUAUAUUGACAUGGAUUAAACAAAGAUAUAUAUUAUUCUAUGUUGUAUAAACAAAUUGGCAAAAUAGAGAUGGAAGAUAAAAAUAUGGUCAAAGUAAUAAGAGUCUAUGGUGAAUGCCUAGGA
rnacentral:misc_RNA from 1 species